rnacentral:rRNA from 1 species
AGUGAACGCUGGCGGUAGGCCUAACACAUGCAAGUCGAACGGCAGCACAGUAAGAGCCUGCUCUUACGGGUGGCGAGUGGCGGACGGGUGAGGAAUACAUCGGAAUCUACUUUUUCGUGGGGGAUAACGUAGGGAAACUUACGCUAAUACCGCAUACGACCUACGGGUGAAAGCAGGGGAUCUUCGGACCCUGCGCGAUUGAAUGAGCCGAUGUCGGAUUAGCUAGUUGGCGGGGUAAAGGCCCACCAAGGCGACGAUCCGUAGCUGGUCUGAGAGGAUGAUCAGCCACACUGGAACUGAGACACGGUCCAGACUCCUACGGGAGGCAGCAGUGGGGAAUAUUGGACAAUGGGCGCAAGCCUGAUCCAGCCAUACCGCGUGGGUGAAGAAGGCCUUCGGGUUGUAAAGCCCUUUUGUUGGGAAAGAAAAGCAGCAGGUUAAUACCCCGCUGUUCUGACGGUACCCAAAGAAUAAGCACCGGCUAACUUCGUG